UUGAGCUUUGGAAAUUCCUUGAUAGCAUCUUUAGAUAUGAUCUUUAUCAUACUCUUGAGGUUGAUAUGACCAAGUUUUUAGUGCCAUAACUUGGCGUCAUCUACCUUGGAUAUAAAACAUGUUGAGGGCUGACUUUUGUUUUUAGAUACCCAUAAAUAAUACUUGUCUUUGGAUCUUGAUCCUUUCAUUAACACUUCUAGAUAUUUUAUGGAAAUAAUGCAUUCUGAUUUGUUAGAGCUCACAUUCAUACCUUGAUCACAUAUUUAACUUAUAA
rnacentral:lncRNA from 1 species